rnacentral:rRNA from 1 species
AAUCAACGCUGGCGGCGUGCCUCAGACAUGCAAGUCGAACGCGAAAGUCCCCUUCGGGGGACAAGUAGAGUGGCGCACGGGUGAGUAACACGUAGGUAAUCUACCUUUGGAUGGGGAAUAACAACCGGAAACGGUUGCUAAUACCGCAUAAUGCAGCGGCACCUAAUGGUGACAGUUGUUAAAGCGGGGGAUCGAAAGACCUCGCGUCUAAAGAGGAGCCUGCGGCGGAUUAGCUAGUUGGUAAGGAAUGGCUUACCAAGGCUACGAUCCGUAACCGGCCUGAGAGGGCGGUCGGUCACACUGACACUGACAUACGGGUCAGACUCCUACGGGAGGCAGCAGUCGGGAAUUUUGGGCAAUGGGCGAAAGCCUGACCCAGCAACGCCGCGUGAAGGAU